UUGCUCUUCAACGAGGAAUGCCUAGUAAGCGCACGUCAUCAGCAUGCGUUGAUUACGUCCCUGCCCUUUGUACACACCGCCCGUCGCUACUACCGAUUGAAUGGCUCAGUGAGGCCUCCGGACUGGCUCGAAGAGGUUGGCAACGACCACUUCGAGCCGGAAAGCUGGUCAAACUCGGUCAUUUAGAGGAAGUAAAAGUCGUAACAAGGUUUCCGUAGGUGAACCUGCGGAAGGAUCAUUACCUAGAGUUUGUAGACUUCGGUCUGCUACCUCUUACCCAUGUCUUUUGAGUACCUUCGUUUCCUCGGCGGGUCCGCCCGCCGAUUGGACAACAUUCAAACCCUUUGCAGUUGCAAUCAGCGUCUGAAAAAACAUAAUAGUUACAACUUUCAACAACGGAUCUCUUGGUUCUGGCAUCGAUGAAGAACGCAGCGAAAUGCGAUAAGUAGUGUGAAUUGCAGAAUUCAGUGAAUCAUCGAAUCUUUGAACGCACAUUGCGCCCCUUGGUAUUCCAUGGGGCAUGCCUGUUCGAGCGUCAUUUGUACCUUCAAGCUCUGCUUGGUGUUGGGUGUUUGUCUCGCCUCCGCGUGUAGACUCGCCUUAAAACAAUUGGCAGCCGGCGUAUUGAUUUCGGAGCGCAGUACAUCUCGCGCUUUGCACUCAUAACGACGACGUCCAAAAGUACAUUUUUACACUCUUGACCUCGGAUCAGGUAGGGAUACCCGCUGAACUUAAGCAUAUCAAUAAGCGGAGGA
rnacentral:rRNA from 1 species